rnacentral:lncRNA from 1 species
CAAGCAGUUUUUUUACAUCUUAAUAUUUUAUGAUGUAUUUAAAUGAGUAGUUAUUGUUGCAAACUCCAUUAGAAAUUUUAAUUGAGAUUAGUUUUGGAAUAAGGGAAAGGGGGAUGUGAUUAAAAAAAUUGGGUUCAAUUUUUCUCAUUUGAAAUUUCAUAAAUAAAAAAGAAAAUUUCUUCAAAACAUUUUUUUGAGAGGAUUAAUAUUCAACAGCAUAGUGAAUUGCUCUAAGAGAAAACAAAAAUUUUAAGUUCAUUAGAACACAUUCAUUCUGUGUCAGAAACCUAUGCUGUGUCAACUAUUUAAUCACAAUCCAAAUUUAGAGCUGAAUCCAGCUUGAAUGUUGUGUCCAUACUUGCCCCAACCGUUCAGGGUUCAACCUCUGCGGUCGUAUAAAGCUACGCCCUGCGGAGCAUCUGGUUUUUACUUGU